UGCUCCCACCCAGGCUCAAGCACUGGGAGUCCAGUGUAGAAGGGUAAUAAAGAGAGGGUUGAAACUUCACGCAAACCGCAGCAACACGAGGGGACAUUGGGCAUAAUCGGCUUUAAGAAUGGUCUAAAGGAUUCCUCUGUACAGCCCACGGACAGUGGUUCGGAACGGAGCAGGGAUUGUUGUCCUCGGCGUGUAUUUACACCAUCUGGAGAAACCUGAAGGACUACAGAGGCUAAAGCAUCGCUGAGGAAAUGGAAGCAGCCCAGGCUAAGGAAGGGCACAGGGUGCGUAGCCAUGGCUCCACACCCUGCAAGGAUCAGCAUCAACAUCAUCCUUGCAAAGUCACAGUUCCCCACCCACGUCUACAGAACCACAGUAUCCAGGAGUGGACCAAGCCCUCUGUGCUUUCCUAAGUUUCCUGUCAGUUGUGAAGUAGUCUGACCUUGGAGCUUGCUAAUAGAGCCCAUAAGACCUGGACUCUAAGACCAGACUGCUUGGGCUCAAUCCUCACUCCCUUCUUACAGAGAGACCCAGGCUAGUUAACUUUCUCAUGCUUCAGCCUUCCCUUCUGACAAUGGAGACAAUAUUUAUGGUCCUGCAGAGGAUUUUUUUUUUAAAGUGGGGUAAGUGAUAUUUGACCAGGGCCUGGUAUAUAAUAAACACUAUGUAGUGCCUGUUAGCAAACAUUCAUACACAUCAUUCUUUUAAAAAUGGUAUUUUUGAAGUUUUUCUGAACCAAUUGACCUUCAUCUCUACAGGGAGGAACUUUUACCUGAAAAAUCAACUCCCCUGUAAGGCAAUUUUCCAGAAAGAUGUUCCUGCGUGAGGAGACAUAUUGAAUCUCAAGGUGAUCUGGUUUUGAUUUGGAUGGUUUCUCAAGACAGGGUUUCUCCGUGUAGCCCUGGCUGUCAUGGAACUUGCUUUGUAGACCAGGCUGGCCUUGAACUCUGAGAGACACCAGCUUCUGCCUUCCAAGGGCAGAGACUAAAGGUGUGUGCCGCUGCCCCUCAAGCUGAUCGUACAGUAUGUGGGGCUGCCUGUGAUUUGCCCCUAUAUGUAAAUGUCUUUCAAAUGAGGUGGAGGUGGUGGCAAGGUCAGGUAGAGGGGGAACCUGUGCAUCCUUCAGAGUAUGUGGUGAGGUGCAGUCUUGACAGCAGCCAUCCCAUGUGAUGAGCUGACAAUACCUCCAUCGAGACACCAUCCCCAAGCAUUCCUUUGAAGAAGGUAAGAGAUGAAAUGAAACGGAGUGUUCUUAGGGGCCCGAGGGAGGCAUAUCGUCCAGCAAUUAUUCUGGAAGUGACUCUUCUAAGGAAAGUGCAUUGGGUGGCGGUGACAUCUGUGGACUCAAGAAAUACUCCUUGAGAUGACAAAAACUUGGGCCUGUUCCUGCAAGCCUUCCAUUAAGCUAUUGAAAGAGUGAUUCAUUAUGGGUCCCCACACCUCACAGGCUGGAUCCCUCCCCAAAGCUGCUUUGUCAUCCUUUUGUGGGUCGUAGUUGUGCUUCCCCUAAGCAGUGAUCCCUACAUGACACAGGACACUCUACCUGACACACUACAUGGCAUGUGGGGGUCACCGGACACCCCUUCCCGUGCUGCGGCUUCUGAAUUUCCAUUAAAUAAAAACUCUUCUUUCCUGUGGAGAAGGAUCACAUUUCAUACUUCUUUUGUGUACUUCAUGGUUCUCAACAAGAACUUCUCAAUAAUUGGUUGCCUUUUCUAAUGUUUUGCGUUUUUUGCCUUGGUUGCCUAGAAACACAGACUUAAAUAUGUGAGUUUAAUUACAGAAACAUUUUUUUUGGCUGAUUCAAUUAAAUCUCCAUAUCUUUUAGGUA